rnacentral:rRNA from 1 species
AUUGAACGCUGGCGGAGUGCUUUACACAUGCAAGUCGAACGGCAGCACGGACUUCGGUCUGGUGGCGAGUGGCGAGCGGGUGAGUAAUGUAUCGGAACGUGCCCAGUCGUGGGGGAUAACGUAGUGAAAAUUACGCUAAUACCGCAUACGAUCUAUGGAUGAAAGCGGGGGAUCGCAAGACCUCGCGCGAUUGGAGCGGCCGAUAUCAGAUUAGGUAGCUGGUGGGGUAAAGGCCCACCAAGCCAACGAUCUGUAGCUGGUCUGAGAGGACGACCAGCCACACUGGAACUGAGACACGGUCCAGACUCCUACGGGAGGCAGCAGUGGGGAAUUUUGGACAAUGGGCGAAAGCCUGAUCCAGCCAUUCCGCGUGCAGGAUGAAGGCCCUCGGGUUGUAAACUGCUUUUGUACAGAACGAAAAGGUUUCUACUAAUACUAGGAGCUCAUGACGGUACUGUAAGAAUAAGCACCGGCUAACUACGUGCCAGCAGCCGCCGUAA